rnacentral:rRNA from 1 species
UACGAAGGGGGCUAGCGUUGUUCGGAAUUACUGGGCGUAAAGCGCACGUAGGCGGACUGUUAAGUCGGGGGUGAAAUCCUGGGGCUCAACCUCAGAAUUGCCUCCGAUACUGGCAGUCUCGAGUGCGGGAGAGGUGAGUGGAAUUCCCAGUGUAGAGGUGAAAUUCGUAGAUAUUGGGAAGAACACCAGUGGCGAAGGCGGCUCACUGGCCCGUAACUGACGCUGAGGUGCGAAAGCUGGGGGAGCAAACAGG